rnacentral:rRNA from 1 species
UCGAGAAUCUUCGGCAAUGGGCGCAAGCCUGACCGAGCGACGCCGCGUGGAGGACGAAGGCCUUCGGGUUGUAAACUCCUGUCGAGGGGGAAGAAGCCGCAAGGUUGACUGAUCCCUGGAGGAAGCACGGGCUAAGUUCGUGCCAGCAGCCGCGGUAAGACGAACCGUGCGAACGUUAUUCGGAAUCACUGGGCUUAAAGCGCGUGUAGGCGGGGCGGCACGUCGGCCGUUGAAAGCCCCCGGCUCAACCGGGGAACGGGCGCCGAUACGACCGCCCUCGAGGGACGUAGGGGGACCUGGAACUUCCGGUGGAGCGGUGAAAUGCGUUGAGAUCGGAAGGAACGCCCGUGGCGAAAGCGAGGUCCUGGACGUUUUCUGACGCUGAGACGCGAAAGCCAGGGGAGCGAACGGG